GAUCAUGGCUCAGGAUGAACGCUAGCGGCAGGCUUAACACAUGCAAGUCGAGGGGCAGCAUAAUGGUAUAAGCAAUAUCUAUGGUGGCGACCGGCGCACGGGUGCGUAACGCGUAUGGCAACCUACCUUUAACAGGGGGAUAACACUGAGAAAUUGGUACUAAUACCCCAUAAUAUCAUAGAAGGCAUCUUUUAUGGUUGAAAAUUCCGAUGGUUAGAGAUGGGCAUGCGUUGUA
rnacentral:rRNA from 1 species